UUUAUGAUAGUCACAGAGACGAGAGAGAGGCAGAGACACAGGCAGAGGGAGAAGCAGGCUCCAUGCACCGGGAGCCCGACGUGGGACUCGAUCCCGGGUCUCCAGGAUCGUGCCCUGGGCCAAAGGCAGGCGCCAAACUGCUGCGCCACCCAGGGAUCCCGAUUUGGAGGUUUUAUGGAUUAAAAAUACCUUACGUUAUAAUGAACAGGUAAAUAAGGUACAAAAAUUGCCAGGAAAUAUUUUCUUCAAAAUUCUUUGCUGUACACUAACGUAGCAAUUUCCAAAUCCUUUUUUGUUAUUGUUCUCCCUUCUAAAAAUUCACGUGUCCCAAAGGAACCUUUGAUUAAGCCAUGAAAGUUUCCCAUGAGGCCUAGGACUUGACUUUGGGAUAUACUUCAUUACAUAAAACAGGGCUAGAAGUUGUUUUGAAUAAACAUUCCAAAGCUCCUUACCUAGAUGAUUUUGAGAAACCUGCUGUGAAUCUAACAACAUACAUAGAAUUGUUUUUAUAUUAAUGACUCAAAUUUCUCCUACUUCCUUUUAGGAAAAAUGAAGCAGCAACAUACAUAUUUCCACAACUUUUCCAAAAAAGACAUUUAAAAGUUUUACAUAUGAAAAUAAAUGAAUAGAUCAUCACUAAAAUAGAUGAGUUGGGUCAAUAAACAUUGCAGACUAUCGUAAAAGGAAAGAUCUUUUCAAGUGAAGCGUGCUCAAUGGAAAAAUUCCUAAAACCAGAAGUUUUCCAGACAUAAAAUUUCCAAACUUCCCAAGACCAUGUUAGUACUAGCUUUCCUGGGAUAUGGGAAGUUUCCUUCUUAUGCUGCAGGCUGCUGCUAUCAUGCACAUAAAUUUAAAUUACACAUAAAGAAACAUAGAUUUCAUUAAACUAGCAUGUGAUGAUGAGAAGCAAGAUACUUUGGUAAAUUUAUUUGGAAUGCAUUUAUAAAUAAAACAUAUAGGUCAUAUCAAAUCACUGAGGCAUCUUUUCAGACUUCUUGAAUUUCUCUGAAUAAGAAAUAUUUUCAAUAAUGAUAGGAAUAGCUGUGGUUUACAUGUAUAGUUGAUAUUGAAAUCCCUAUUAAACCAUCUUCUCUCAAGCUCUCCCACCCCCACUGUAAUCAUUCAGAUUCCACUUAAGCCACCAUCAGAAGCAGACAUUCACUUUCCAGCCCUCUGUUUAAAAAUAUCUCAAUCAACUAUUUGCCAUUUUUACUGCCAAUAGUUCAAAAAUCCUUAUUAUUAUAGAGAAUAUCUGUAUUUUACACAAUCGUUUCCUCAGUACUGAUAUUUUGCAAAAACAUAUUUGUGAAUACUGAGGAAUUAGUACAUAACCAACUAUAGAAUAUCUAUGUUGUUUUAUUACUACAGGACACUGAAAUACUAUGUUCCUAUAGGAAAUAAUACACCAGAAUAGUAUAUAUUUAUGAAAUUAAGAUGUCUUAGAUUAUCAAUAGAAUAGUGGUUAAUGGUCUAAGAAAUGUAAUAAUUAAGCAGAGUUUGGCUUUGAUAGUAUUGCUUUCUUUGUGCCAUAGUUUGUAUAUAUUUUGUGAUACACAAUUAACAGUGAAAACUUAGUACUUGUCUGAACAGUAUGUGUGAAAAAUAUCCUUUUUGAAUUCUUUGCUGCAGACAUUAACCUGGGGCUGCUUAUUAAUUAAAAUCUAAUUUGGGAAAAAAGAGAAGUUCAAAGAUACCUGCUUGGUUUACAAAAUAAGUUAAAUAUUAUUUAUUAGAAUAAUACACUUUUCUACUACAUUUAGAGUAACACAGAAAUUUUUGUUUCAUACCAAACACCUCUGCAAAAAUGUCUAUGACAUUAGUAAUAGUUCUGCAGAGCAUCACAGGUCAUAAAAAUAAUUCUGUGUAUGACAGACAAAAACUCAAUACUGGAUUACAAAAGAACAGAAUCCAUCUUAUAUAGAUUGCGUUUUUAAAAAUUCAUUCUACUGAACCUCACAGAAAGUACUUUGAAAACAAGUACAAUUCUGUGGAAUAGAUUCAUUUCUGCUUCUUACACUCUUCCUACCCAGGAUUAUAAAGCAUGAGAAUGUAGAUUUUUAAACUGCUACAGAAAUAGUUUUCUUUCUUUUCUCCUCAAUAAAGUAUCCUUUAGAUCAUGAGGAAAAUUUACUAAGAAUUAUUUUAUUAUUAAGUCUAACCAUAUUAAUCAGCAUAACUGAUUAUCAACUACAUGUUAGAUAAUAAAUGGACUAAAAUCACUUUUGAAAAAAUUUAUAAACUGAGCCCAAGAUACUUUUAUCUUUUUGUUUCAUUUUUAUUUUAAAAUUUAUUUUGACCAUUUUUAUAGUAUGCCACUUUGUAAGUUGCCCUACAUCGUUUCCAAACAAAGUGAGACACAAAUGACCAAACUAGUGAAGACUGAUAUGAAAACAAAAUUGACAAUUUGGUUGCCAUUUAGUGACAGACUAAACAAGGUAAGGACAAAUAUCUCUGAGGAAGCAACCCAAUUAAAUAUUGGUUGUAGGACUGAUUCAAAGAUAAAUGGUAGCCUGGAGUAUAAAUCAGACAGCAUAGUUUGAGACUGACAGCUUCUUUAACCAGUAGGUAAAACUGUUUUUCUAAUUUGUAGGUGUGCUGCCAAAGUGAGCACCAUUUUUCUAAUUAGAACAAUCACUAAUAAGGAUAAUCCAAAUGUAAACUAAUGGAAAAGUUUUUAAGUUUUAAUAACUUAAGAGUACCAAGGAGAUAGUCUUGUUAAGAAAAUGUAAUUAAAUCAAUAUUAAGUUAUAACUGUUAUAUAUUAUACUGUAAUUAUUGUUAAUCAAUUUAUUAAUAAUUACAUAUAUAAUUUUAUAUAUAGUUAAGUUAAUAAUUACAAUUAAUAUAUUUUAUUAAGAAAUUAUUUUAGAUCUCAAAUUAAGGCCAAUUAUGAAUCCAGAGGGCACAGCUCAAGAGUAACAAAAGAUCAGGAUUUAAACAUAGUGGUAAAAGAUACUGAUUUAUUUGGAAUAAGUGCAUAGAACAUUACAAAAUGUGACAAAACAUGAACAUAUGCACACAAUUUGAGCACAGAUGAGAUAAAUUAAAGUUUAGGUUUCUUGAACCUGGGGCUUUUUGUUUUAGCCACCAGAGGUCACUCUUCCCCAGAGAGAUGAAAAACAGGGUUUGCAAAGCACUGGUCACUUACUGUGUAUUUGUUAUAAGGAUAUAAAAAAAACAAUAAAAACCAAAUAGUGCCUGUGUUUGCAAUAUUAUCUCCCUACCCAAACCAUAUCUGAGCAUGGAUCCUGCUUGCCACCUUUACCCUUAGUGCUGAAUACAGGUAAUGGAGAACAGGAAAACUGAAAUAGCCUGGGAGGCUAAAAUAUGCUUAACAAUUGACUCAAGCAGUAAGGAAGGAGUGAAGGAGAUGCAGUUCCUGGGAGAAGAGAGAUUUGUGAACAAGUAUCAUGCUAGUAAGAGAUAAUGGAGAAAACUGGAUGAAAUUUCAGUUUCAAGAAUUUUUAUAAAUAUAACCAUUCCUGGACAUUUUUCAGCUAAAGACUGUAGUAAAGAUUUAUACUGCUUUUUAAAUUAGUUUUACAUGCUAAACUUUAAGUUUUGUCUAUCAAAUAUGGCUUUAAGGAAAAAGCCAGGACUCCUUCAGGAUUCAACAUAUAUAUUUAAAAUCAAAUUAGAGAGAAAGAGACCCUUAAUUCAUCAUACUGUCUUACAUAAAAUAUGUGGUCAGUAAACACUCUUCCCCACUCACCUCACCUCUCAUAUAAUACAAUAAGCAGCAGAUAAUUAAAAGUUUCAAUCUCUUUCAAUUCCAUUAGGUAAAGUAGAGCUCAAUCCUCUCUAUUUACUGCCACUCUACGGUAAGCCACAGGUAGAAGUAAAAUUCAAGGGUUAGAGCAGGCUUUUAUAAUUUCAUGUAUGUGGAUUACAGUUCAGCAUAGACCCUUAUGAUUACCUAGGGAUUUAGAACCUUCUAAACUAUAGUCUUUCUUAUUCCAUGUAGCACCAAAGGAAAUCCCAAGGAAAAAUGUAUAUAGUAGGCCAAAGUCCUUAGCAGUUCAUAAAAUUCUUGUUUAAAAAACAUUGUUUUGUUAGCAAAUAAGGCUACAGCACAUCAUUGUAUCUUUUAGAUACAUAACAAUUUUCUUUUUCAAUUACAAAGGUAAAAUAUGGUCAUUACAGAAUAUUCAGUAAAUGGGCAAAGGCUCUAGGAAAAUAAAAUCACCCAUAAUCCCAUAAAAUAUGGGGAAAGAGAAUAAAAUUCUAAGUGAAACAUUUUUAUGAUAUUAAAAAAGUUUAGUCAUGGCUUCAUAUUCUUAGAAUUCAUUUCCAUUUAUCUCACAAACUCCACUAUCAUAUGUCCUCCCUUUAUCAAUGACAUAUUCCAACAAGUUCACCAAAGAAUCUCAUGAGUAGAGGGUCAUAUCUUUAUACUUAAUAUACUCUUUCUUUGUACCUUCUUUGAUGUCUCUACAGUGUUGGCACUGCUGACCAUUCCUUUCCAAAUAC
rnacentral:lncRNA from 1 species